rnacentral:lncRNA from 1 species
CUCCUCGCUUCCUCCUCCAGAUCUUCUCUUGCUUUGGAGUGUCCAAGUUGCUUGAAGAAGAAGGAAGAAGCCAGCUGUCAAAGUUGCUUGCAGGCUAGCACCUCCAAGUCCCUGAUCUGUGUCAGUCUUUGCAUGAAUUUUUCUGUAGAGGUCAGAUGACUUCAUGUGGUUGUGAGUGAUCUGAGGAACAUCCUCUCCAAGUGUUGGACCAGAGA